ACUCCUACGGGAGGCAGCAGUGAGGAAUAUUGGUCAAUGGGCGCAAGCCUGAACCAGCCAUGCCGCGUGCAGGAUGACGGUCCUAUGGAUUGUAAACUGCUUUUGUGCGAGAAGAAACAACAUUACGUGUAAUGUCUUGACGGUAUCGUAAGAAUAAGGAUCGGCUAACUCCGUGCCAGCAGCCGCGGUAAU
rnacentral:rRNA from 1 species